CAUUUUAAAAUACAUUGUUCGGUGAACAAUGGUUGCAAACAGCAGGCUCAUUGGUACUACAUGCAAUUUGCUGUUUAUAUGGGAUUUCCUAGGAACCCGGGAAAUUGGC
rnacentral:snoRNA from 1 species